UAAAACACAUUCAGACACUCAAGCAAAACACCAGCCAAAACAUCUGAUAUUGCUAUGCUGCUGUUUUCCUAUGUAUUUUAUUUAAAUCAUAGUUUGUUUAAUAAAAUACCUUGAUGAAGCCUUGUAGAUGCAGGUUGUGUUAGUGGAGGCAGGGUGGAGGCAGGUUGUAUUAGUGGAGGCAGGCUGUGUUAGUGGAGGAAGGUUGGAGGCAGGUUGUAUUAGUGGAGGCAGGUUGUAUUAGUGGAGGCAGGUUGUAUUAGUGGAGGCAGGUUGUAUUAGUGGAGGCAGGUUGUAUUAGUGGAGGCAGGUUGGAGGCAGGUUGUAUUAGUGGAGGCAGGUUGUAUUAGUGGAGGCAGGUUGUGUUAGUGGAGGCAGGUUGUGUUAGUGGAGGCAGGUUGUAUUAGUGGAGGCAGGUUGUAUUAGUGGAGGCAGGUUGUGUUAGUGGAGGCAGGUUGUAUUAGUGGAGGCAGGUUGGAGGCAGGUUGUAUUAGUGGAGGCAGGUUGGAGGCAGGUUGUAUUAGUGGAGGCAGGUUGUAUUAGUGGAGGCAGGCUGUGUUAGUGGAGGCAGGUUGUAUUAGUGGAGGCAGGUUGUAUUAGUGGAGGCAGGUUGGAGGCAGGUUGGAGGCAGGUUGUAUUAGUGGAGGCAGGUUGUAUUAGUGGAGGCAGGUUGUAUUAGUGGAGGCAGGUUGUGUUAGUGGAGGCAGGUUGUGUUAGUGGAG